rnacentral:rRNA from 1 species
UACGUAGGGUGCGAGCGUUGUCCGGAAUUAUUGGGCGUAAAGAGCUCGUAGGCGGUUUGUCGCGUCUGCUGUGAAAACCUAAGGCUCAACCUUGGGCUUGCAGUGGGUACGGGCAGACUAGAGUGCGGUAGGGGUGACUGGAAUUCCUGGUGUAGCGGUGAAAUGCGCAGAUAUCAGGAGGAACACCGAUGGCGAAGGCAGUUCUCUGGGCCGUAACUGACGCUGAGGAGCGAAAAGCCGUGGGGGAGCGAACAGG